GAUGAACGCUGACAGAAUGCUUAACACAUCAGCAAUUGAUUUGUGGCGGACGGGUGAGUAACGCGUCAAGAACUUGCCUCACAGCUAGGGACAACAUUUGGAAACGAAUGCUAAUACCUAAUACUGUUAGAGAGCUUUGCGUCCCAUUAGCUAGUUGGAGAGGUAACGGCUCACCAAGGCGAUGAUGGGUAGCCGGCCUGAGAAGUUGAUCGGAAAUCAGGUGACUGAGACACGGCCCUUACUCUUGCGGGAGGCAGAAGUGGGGAAUAUUUGACAAUGGACCACAGUCUAAUCCAGCAAUGCUGUGUGCGCGAUGAAGUUUUCGGAAUGUAAAGUGCUUUCAGUUGGGAAGCGGUACCAACAGAAGAAGUGACGGCUAAAUACGUGCCAGAAGCCGAGGUAAUAC
rnacentral:rRNA from 1 species